AACCCUGUCAAAAGUAACUACUGGCCUAAGAUGUGCUGCCGCAAAAUCUUUCUAAUUUAAUACUAGAGAAAAUAUUCAUAAAUGCGAACAUCAAUGUAGGGGUAGUAUUAGGAAAUGAAGUAUAUAUAUCCUUGCCUAUGCAGAUAAUACAGUAAUCGACUGGAAACGAUUAUGUGGGAAAAUCCUGAUGAUAGGUAAAGUAAAAGGUUUCGUGGGAACGAUUAGACG